rnacentral:rRNA from 1 species
GCCAGACUCCUACGGGAGGCAGCAGUGAGGAAUAUUGGUCAAUGGCCGAGGGGCUGAACCAGCCAAGUCGCGUGAGGGAUGACGGCCCUACGGGUUGUAAACCUCUUUUGCCGGGGAGCAAAGAGCGGGACGCGUCCCGCCUCGAGAGUACCCGGAGAAAAAGCAUCGGCUAACUCCGUGCCAGCAGCCGCGGUAAUACGGAGGAUGCGAGCGUUAUCCGGAUUUAUUGGGUUUAAAGGGUGCGUAGGCGGGAUGCCAAGUCAGCGGUCAAAUACGGGGGCUCAACCUGCGUCCGCCGUUGAAACUGGCGUUCUUGAGUGAGUGAGAAGUAUGCGGAAUGCGUGGUGUAGCGGUGAAAUGCAUAGAUAUCACGCAGAACUCCGAUUGCGAAGGCAGCAUACCGGCGCUCAACUGACGCUCAUGCACGAAAGUGUGGGUAUCGAACAGGAUUAGAUACCCUUGUAAG